CGAAAAUCCCUGGUGUUAGUGUCACACCUCUUAAUUUAUUUUUAGCAAGGGCUGAAGUGAGCGAGAAGGUUUGGAGCUACAUUAGAUGACCAGCUGAAUGUUGGGACAAAGUGUAGAAUCAGAUAAAGAAACUGAGAUGCAGAAGGAUUUAGUGACAUACUCGGAGUUGUACCAACUACUAAGAAUUGGAACUGGAACUUCAACCCAGGGGCUACAGAAGAUCUUUGGAGGCAAGGGAUGAUGAGGAGUUCCAGGGCCAAAUCUGCUUUCACCACAUGUUGCCAGGUUGUGCACAAGAGACAUCUAUAUGAAGCUUUCCCUGAUUCUUGUUGCUGCAAGUACAGUCCCUUCCUUUGCUGCCAAAUUACCUUAUAUUUAUUUUGCAUAUGCUUAUUUAUUUAUAUUUGUACUUUUAAUAUAUUUAUACGUUAUUAUGUAGGUGUAAAUGUUUUCCCCAGUAGAAUGUAAGUUCUUUGAAGGCACAGGCUAUUUCAUAUCUGUAAUGGCUGGCAUAUGGUAUAGGCACUUAAUAAAUAUGACUUUUGUUCUCUGCUGAUAGUCUGA
rnacentral:lncRNA from 1 species